rnacentral:lncRNA from 1 species
AUGCAGAAAUCAGCCACCUUCCUCCUUCCUCUCACCAGCAGCUGCAGACCAGAGCUGCUUCUAGUCGGCCAACUUGGCCCCUCCCCACAGAGAAAUGAGGUACGGGGGAGAGAAACACCUACUUGGAAAGCACCUACACAACUGAAUUGGAAAAUGUGGAAAGGGGAUUGGGGAAGGGGGACUCUUCUUGACAUCGGGCUCCAGUGCUUACAGCAAAGGGAACUUGGGCAAGUUACAGAUUCUCUGUGCCUUGGUUUCUUCAUCAGCAAAACAGAAUCAUCCCAUAAACUGUAAGGUCCGUGGUAUCAGAGUGUCCCCAAACUGACUGCACAUCUGAGUCAUGUUAACAAACACAUUCCAGGCCCCACCUGAGGGCACUGAAUCAGAAUCCCUGCAAGGAGGACACUGGACAUCUAUUUGCACUGACCUUCCAGGUGUUUCUUACUUUGGUCAACUUGCGGGUAGGAAUCAUUGAGCUCCAUCACAUCAUUCCAAAGCCAAAACACAAAAGCAGAACAAGAAUGUAUUCAAUGCAGUCUCUAAAGAGGAGAAAACUGUUGGGGGAACCUAGAAGUGAAGGAGACAUGCCUUGCUGGGCUCCAUCUUAACUUUAUCCUGAGUAUGGCAGAGACACGAGCCCUUCGGGACACAUGCCUGAGGCAGUGACAGUCCAACCUUGGAACAGUGGAAGCCCUAGUUUCAAAUUCAAGCUUGCUUUGAGUAGAUGUUAAGUUUACAUCUUUUUGCAUGGCAACAGGGCCAACUUUCUCCAAGCUGCUCAACUUACAAGAAAAGGAAUCGUACUGCUAAGACUUCAAACUUCAGCAGACUUGGGUAAGUAAGUCUUAUAAAUCUGUUCUAGCCGCCUAACAAGAAACCAGAAAUUUAGCAAGUUCUUUUUCAUUCAGGACAAUUGUGUUCACUAGAUCAGAAGCACUGAGACAUGAAGAAAAGACCCCCUAAAAAGGGAAAGCAUUCCUUCCUGCUCUAGGACAUCCCUGCCAACUUCAGGGAGGUUGGAACACAGCUGCCCACUCUACAGUAUGGUUUGCUUUUGUGUCUGGAGAGUGUCUGACAUCCUGAGACCUGGACCCAUUUCAGAGAGCUUUGAGAAGAGCCUGAAUCACUGGUG